AUUCAAUUGAAUUAAUGUGUCUGUUCAAUUACGCAUUUCGUUUAAAAAGAUAAUGUAUGAUUCGCGUCAAUGUUAAAGAUCGACUGUUAGAUUUAAAGUAAAAAACCCAAACAAAUUAUAUAGAACUAGAGAAAUACUUAGUUUGAUUUGCAAAAUUGUAUUUAUUACGAUCAUAUAAAUUAUAUUUUUGCAAAAAAAAAAUGAAAUCUAAAGAGAUAGUAGUAAACAAGUUCGAAAGACCCGAUACUAUCAUUGAUUAUAAGACAGACGCAGAGAAGAAAUCAUGGAGUUUCACUUAAGGUGAGAAAUAACUUGAAGGAUGAUAUUUGAUCAAUUUCCGAAAAUGAUCAGACGGGGCGGAUGUUCUCAUUUUCGAGCUACAGCCUGUUGAAAAAGGUGGAUAUAUAAAUGAAUGCUUAUAACUUCAAAACCGUGCGAGACAGAGUAACCAUAACAAGUUUUUCUUACAGGCGAUUGACUGCUUUUUAUUUUUUGUCCUAUAAUGAAUUUGUUUUAAACUAUGUUUCCGAGAAAAAGCUAGGUAAACUCGAAUUUUAUGUUAACUCGAAGGUUAUGUUAAAUUUACCUUACGUUUACUUUAAAUUAGAUGUGAUCUAGGUAGUGGUCAACGGUUUUCGAGCGACAGAAGUUUUUAACGCAUUGUCGUGAAAUUUAGUAUUUGUAACAAAAAGUUGGAAACCGU